rnacentral:rRNA from 1 species
UGGGGAAUUUUGGACAAUGGGCGAAAGCCUGAUCCAGCAAUGCCGCGUGUGUGAAGAAGGCCUUCGGGUUGUAAAGCACUUUUGUCCGGAAAGAAAUCCUUGGCUCUAAUACAGUCGGGGGAUGACGGUACCGGAAGAAUAAGCACCGGCUAACUACGUGCCAGCAGCCGCGGUAAUACGUAGGGUGCAAGCGUUAAUCGGAAUUACUGGGCGUAAAGCGUGCGCAGGCGGUUUGCUAAGACCGAUGUGAAAUCCCCGGGCUCAACCUGGGAACUGCAUUGGUGACUGGCAGGCUAGAGUAUGGCAGAGGGGGGUUAGAAUUCCACGUGUAGCAGUGAAAUGCGUAGAGAUGUGGAGGAAUACCGAUGGCGAAGGCAGCCCCCUGGGCCAAUACUGACGCUCAUGCACGAAAGCGUGGGGAGCAAAACAGGAUUAGAUACCCCUGGUUAGUCCACGCCCUAAAACGAUGUCAACUAGUUGUUGGGGGAUUCAUUUCCUUAGUAACGUAGCUAACGCGUGAAGUUGACCGCCUGGGGAGUACGGUCGCAAGAUUAAAACUCAAAUGAAUUGACGGGGUCAUAGCUGUUU